AGCUGCAGAAAUUCAUUAACUCUGCACUUUGUGUCUCAUACUGCAGAUUCUUAUUGUACUAGCAGCUGCUGUUGGAAUUUCAUGCCUGUCAACAUUUCCUUGCUUCUCUCCAUUUCGGACUGUGACCUGGUGGAGUGAGGUUGCCUGUGACUAUUUUAUUAACCUGUAGGCACUUUGAGACCAUGGAGAUGCGAUCUUAAAUGACAUCACAUUAGGAAGUUCCACCCCCAACUCCACCUUGUUUGGCCCUGUGACCAAUCUAGCUGAUCUAUAGCAUCCAUCAUCAUAGUACCCAAGUACAUAGAGGUCCUGCUGCCAGGCACUGUACCUUGAGUAACAGAAAUCUUUCAAUGAAGUUGCAAUGGAUUGAAAUCAUUUCUCAACUAACUGUCUCCUGGUGUAUGUGGCAGAAUGUAUAUGCUGAUUGUGAAAAACCACCAGCCUCAGCGCAAGGGCUACUGGGAGCUUUUCCCACCACUUCCUAUCCACAAAAUACUGUGCACUGAACAUCACUUCUAAACGGAAUGCAUAUCUUCUAGGAGAGAUGUAACAGUGAUGUGGGACCCAAACUCUCUGAGGCUCAUCACAGUAUCUGAACCUCUUGGAUCAGCAAUGCUAGACUGGCUGUCUUGUGGGGCACGUAGUUCUCAGGAGAUUUCCGGAUCUUCAUGUUGGGGCAGAUCUACCACCUGGUCCACCUUUCUCACAGCAUUGCAGCAUUUCUUGGAAUCAGCCCCACAUGAGCCAGGAAAUGGAGAACAGGCAGCAGCAAAAUGGAGUGCUAACAAGGGGGAAGAGGGCUCAGCCAACUCAGCCUGGGAUGAGGGGCACCUCCCACUGGGAAGAAGAAAGAGGAGAAAUGCAUGUUUCGAACACUAACCAAGUCCACAUGAUUCAGUUCAUGAGUGUGCCUGAGAAGGCUCCAUGCAGUUCAAGGCUCAUUUGGGCUAUGCUGGGGGGAGAUGGUGGGGGUGGAGGAGAGUGUGUUGCUAAGCAACAUUCCCUGUAUAUUAAGAAGAUAAAUCCCAUAAUAAUGGCAUGAACUGA